rnacentral:rRNA from 1 species
GCGAAUGCUGACAUGAGUAGCGAUAAUGCGGGUGAAAAGCCCGCACGCCGUAAGCCCAAGGUUUCCUGUUCAACGUUCAUCGGAGCAGGGUGAGUCGGCCCCUAAGGCGAGGCAGAGAUGCGUAGCUGAUGGGAAGCAGGUUAAUAUUCCUGCACCGUCGUAUGAUGCGAUGGGGGGACGGAUCGCGGAAGGUUGUCUGACUGUUGGAAUAGUCAGUUUCUGUUUCAUAGAAGGUGCUUAGGCAAAUCCGGGCACAUAAUUCAAGGGAACGGGACGAGUUGCCAUGUGCGACGAAGCAAUCGGAAGUGGUUCCAAGAAAAGCCUCUAAGCUUCAGUCAUACGAGACCGUACCGCAAACCGACACAGGUGGGCGAGAUGAGUAUUCUAAGGCGCUUGAGAGAACUCGGGAGAAGGAACUCGGCAAAUUGGUACCGUAACUUCGGGAUAAGGUACGCCUCGGUAGCUUGAAUGGUUUACUCCAUGAGGGCGAAAAGGUUGCAAUAAAAUGGUGGCUGCGACUGUUUAAUAAAAACACAGCACUCUGCAAACACGAAAGUGGACGU